rnacentral:rRNA from 1 species
UACAGAGGUCCCAAGCGUUGUUCGGAUUCACUGGGCGUAAAGGGCGCGUAGGCGGCGCCACAAGUCACCUGUGAAAACUCUGGGCUCAACCCAGAGCCUGCAGGCGAAACUGUGGUGCUGGAGUAUGGGAGAGGUGCGUGGAAUUCCCGGUGUAGCGGUGAAAUGCGUAGAGAUCAGGAGGAACACCGGUGGCGAAGGCGGCCUACUGGGCCAGCACUGACGCUGAGGAGCGAAAGCGUGGGGAGCAAACAGG